rnacentral:rRNA from 1 species
CCUACGGGUGGCAGCAGUGAGGAAUAUUGGUCAAUGGACGAGAGUCUGAACCAGCCAAGUAGCGUGAAGGAUGACUGCCCUAUGGGUUGUAAACUUCUUUUAUAUGGGAAUAAAACGUUCCACGUGUGGGAUUUUGUAUGUACCAUAUGAAUAAGGAUCGGCUAACUCCGUGCCAGCAGCCGCGGUAAUACGGAGGAUCCGAGCGUUAUCCGGAUUUAUUGGGUUUAAAGGGAGCGUAGGUGGAUUGUUAAGUCAGUUGUGAAAGUUUGCGGCUCAACCGUAAAAUUGCAGUUGAUACUGGCAGUCUUGAGUACAGUAGAGGUGGGCGGAAUUCGUGGUGUAGCGGUGAAAUGCUUAGAUAUCACGAAGAACUCCGAUUGCGAAGGCAGUUCACUGGACUGCAACUGACACUGAGGCUCGAGAGUGUGGGUAUCAAACAGGAUUAGAUACCCGAGUAGUC